rnacentral:lncRNA from 1 species
UCUUGAGAAGGAAAAUACAGAAAAAUCCUUGACACAGAAUAAUGGGAAGCAAAUAUAAGAGAGAUUAACCGGGCACUUCCCUAACAGAAUUGCUUGCCUUCCCAGAGAUCCAAGACAUGUUAAAUAAAAUGCAUUCAGUGUGCUGGACAAAGUUCCCCGGGGCAUAGAAGAAGGAAGACAUUGAUCACCUGCAAUCAAUUUUUCAAACUAAAUCCUCUACUUUGUGUAGUAGUGUUGGCAAGAAAAACAUCAUGAUCAAAUAUGAAUAACAAAAUAUCAUAAUAUAACAACUAAAACAAGGUAUAAGAGAGAGGAUUCCAAAACCUAGCUGUAAAAGCAUACAAAAGUAGCUUUAAAAGUGACCUAAACCCAUUCGACAGUGGACAAUCAUAGCAUGCUAAAUUUACACAAAAAGGAAAAGAAAAUCUUAUGUGAAGGUGGUUAGAUAUUAGACUUAGAACAAAUCAGCUAAAGUAACAAAAUAAAAAGAUUAGAUGGCCUCUCCGCACUUAUUGUAAUUGAUAAGAAAGCCUUGGAAGUAACCAAAGCUUGUCACUAUUUAGCAUCAGCAACAGUUUAAAUGAGUAAAAACCUAAACAUACCACUGUCUAAUCAAGUGGCAUCCAUGAUAGAAUUUUGAAGAUAUAUUUCAUGAACAAAAGUGUGUCGCACUCAUAGAAUCCCCAGGUGUCCACCAAAAAUAUUUGAGAACAAACGCUGGUUGCUUGUCAUCAAUGUAAAUAAAAAGGAAAAACCAAUUAGCCAGAAUGAUAUAAAGCCUCUUCUUUCUGUAAAAAAUAAAAAGAAAACUACAUGGUAACUACAAGAGAACAUAAUCAGACAUUUCCCCCAAGGAGUUGUUUGCCUACCACACCAACCACCUCAUCCAAAACUCUCAGCAACUAGCACACGGAAAAAUAAGCAUUACAUUGAAAAUUAAGAGAUUCAGGACAAUUUUCACUGAUGAUAAACAGAGUGGGAAGACAAAGACGUAGGUAGCUAUCAAAAGAUUAAAAUAGAAAAGGCACUCAAGCUCAGAAAAUCAAUCAAGAGCCAACUCCAUCACAAAUAGGAGCACAAAGAACUAUAAAAUGACAAAUAGGUCUACAGGAACUGAAGCAGCAACCAUUCAAAUCCUGGAGGGAAAAGCCCUUCAAAGUUUACUACAUGAGAUCCACAAAUAAUAUUAUAUAAAAGAAACCUGCCACAAAAAACCAAGAAGAUUUUACGUCGUCUUUUCUCUAUGCUGAGGGAGAAAGGCAGCCAACACAACUUAAUUUAACUGACCCUGUCUCUUGUUGGGUUCUAGAUGGUUAUUCAAACGAAGAAAAAAAAGAUAGAGAGAACAUUGAUCAAGUCUUAAAGGAUAUUUUUGUUCUAGUCUAGUCAAAAUAUAUUCAAAAAUAUCUGUUCUUCACCCUACUACUUAUCAGCAAAAAAUAGAGGAUAAACAUAAAAAUACCUACUGUGAAGCCAAUUAAUUAAAUAAAAUAUCAGAUAUUAAAUACUGGAUUGAAGCAGCAACAAUGGUCACCCAAUUAUUGUCACAAGCUGCGCCGAUGAGUUAACUAUAGUAGCAGUUUCUAGCCAGGGAAUGAUUUUUUUUUUUUAAAAAUGCCAUCAUUCACACAAAACUUUGUACCGUGCACUUGGAAAAGUCAAAAUGAAGAAAAUAUUUAAUUCUAGACAGGAUAAAUAAGUAGGAGAUUGUCAGAAAGAAGCUAUUGGCAACUACACAAGUCAAUAAGCAAGACAACAUCACUUGGGGAAACAUAACUAAUGUUCUCAAGAAUUGGCCUUAGUAUGUUACUACAUGAUGUUCUAAGAAAGAGAUUCCAGGACAGUCUAAAAGCCAAAGAUUGUGAUAGGAUGACUCACUCCUAAAACCACCUGAUAUGCAAUCGAUCUAACAUUGAGCUACUCAAUAUUUGUGUACAUGCACAAAAGAUCUCUCAUAGAAUAUAAGUUAGAACACAUCUUACAAGUGUCAAGGACCACACACACACACAAAAAAAAAACGAGCAUAAAAGCUGGGGGAAGAAAACAAAAACUACCAGAAAAAUGCAAAUUUCAUCAAAGUUCUCCAAGUAUGAAUUGAACCUAUGACCGACCAGUCAGUUCAUAAUCAGCUGCUCGACCCCUAAGUUACUGGAUUUCUUGUCAUUCAUUUUAGAGGCAUUUAAGGAAUAACUAUAACAACAAAAGUAAUAACGAUGGAAAAGAAAAUUACCAACUCCUCCAAAUAGAUUUUGAAAAACUUGUAUUCAGAAGAUGAGCACCCCCUUCAAAAAAAAAAUAGAUAUAAGAAAACUCACAUUACAUAUUCGAUGCAAUUACAUGUUAAAAAUAAUCAUAAGCUAUAAUAAUACCUACCAUUACCAUAUAAUAGCUCCAAAUAUGAAACGAAUGAACUUUGAUAGAGAAAUGGAGCAAUUCCCAACUCACGGAACAUAUAAAAAAAAUAACAAUAGUAUGGGAGCUACAAUUGUAGCUUUCAGGC